GCUCGGGUGGUGGAAUGGUAGACACGAAGGACUUAAAAUCCUUUGAGGUUAAUCCCUCAUGCGAGUUCGACUCUCGCCCCGAGCA
rnacentral:tRNA from 1 species